GCUGUGGCAGGGCACCAGCAGUGUGCACUGGAGAUGUGUAAGUAUCAACUGCACACGGAUUUGGAGAGAUGGGGAAGUCUUCCAAGUAGAAGACACUGCUUUUGCAUGGACCCUAGGUGGGAAGAAGGAACUCGUCCCCCAUCUCAUUUAUAACAAGCAACUUGUCCCCGAUCCUGUUUAUAAUAAGCAGUAGACCCAGGUUCAAACUGGGGCCCAAUUGACUCCAGAGCCUUAAUUUCUAAGACUUCCUGUCUCUAUUCCAGCAGAGUCCAGCAGGAUCCAGAGACAGAAACUGUCAGAUCACCCGCACGCCGGCUUCCCGAACCACGAUUUAAUUACAGCACCAGUGCCAGGGGCUUUGAAAGUCCCAGACUAGGUGUUUAAAACACAGGAAGUAAGAAGGAUUUUGCUGUGACUCGCUUCCCCUUCAAGGACUGCUCCUGGGGACACAUCAAAUCCCCAGCCUCCUUUCAUCCUCCUUUUGCUUUUCUAGCUCUUUAGCCGUGGACUGUUUUUUUCUCUUCCAGAUAAUUAUUUACACAGAAGGAGAAUAAUUAGCAGCCCAGGAAACGCCGCUUUGUUCUCAGCUCUCUGCCCCUGCCUGCCUCUCUUGUCUGAAGUGGGCGCCUCUGCUGGGAAGAGAGACAUCAAAGUCCGCGGAGGAGGCUUUACGCAGAGAGGGAUUUUCUUUGUCUGGCUGAAAAGCAAAGAAGGACAAUCUCGGCUUGUUUGUGUCUCUACCCCCCGACUGCCGCUGUGUCUCAGGCCUGAGGACCUGCCAGUGGCCCUGCAGAGGAUCAAGUUUUAAAUCAUGGAAAAAUGAUGGACUAGGAAGGGCCAGGAUUCAAAUGUUGAGAGCAUCAAAACCAAACAAUCUGUGGUAAGAGUGAGGUUGGGGUUAUUACACUAGGCUGGAGUUGGGCAGAGGUAUGUUGGGAGGGUGAGCAGUGUGGAAACAAGCAAAGAGCAUCAGCAGAAUAACAUUUCUUGGUGGUAGGGGCACAGGAGCUGAGAGCUAUGAUAGUGCCACCUCCUUGGGGUCCCAUCUUACUCUGAG
rnacentral:lncRNA from 1 species